rnacentral:snoRNA from 1 species
UAGUCUUUUGCCUCGCUCGAUCGAUUUCUCUCUUCUGUAUAUCGACCUUGAGCUGGAUACCAGCAAUGUCUAUCUGACGCUGCUUGUGUAUGAGACAAGAAGAACUCGACGCUUUUUGAGUACAACCACUUCUGGGGCAACCCAAAUGGGGUGGUAGUAAUUGUCGUUGAUACAUUU